GCCUCGGUAGCGCAGUAGGCAGCGCGUCAGUCUCAUAAACACAUGAAUCCGAGAAAUCUGAAGGUCGAGAGUUCGAUCCUCUCCUGGGGCA
rnacentral:tRNA from 1 species